CGUAUUAUGCCCCUGCCAGCCUCCGCGUGAUUGGCUUUGCGGCGGGCGGCCUGUGUCUGACACGGCGUACUGUCUUAAUCGGUCUUUU
rfam:Pantoea sp. AS1 3__len__376349, whole genome shotgun sequence.